rnacentral:rRNA from 1 species
GACGAACCGUGCGAACGUUAUUCGGAAUCACUGGGCUUAAAGCGCGUGUAGGCGGCCCGGCGCGUCAUCGGCUGAAAUCCCCCGGCUCAACCGGGGAAGGGGCCAUGAUACGGCCGGACUGGAGGGGGGUAGGGGGGACGGGAACUUCCGGUGGAGCGGUGAAAUGCGUUGAGAUCGGAAGGAACGCCCGCGGCGAAAGCGCGUCCCUGGACCCCGCCUGACGCUGAGACGCGAAAGCCAGGGGAGCGAACGGG